GAUGAACGCUAGCGGCAGGCUUAAUACAUGCAAGUCGAGGGGCAGCACAGGUAGCAAUACUGGGUGGCGACCGGCAAACGGGUGCGGAACACGUACACAACUUACCUUCUGGUGGGGGAUAGCCUUUGGAAACGGAGAUUAAUACCCCAUAUUAUAUAUGAGCUGCAUGGUUUGUAUAUUAAAGAUUUAUUGCCGGAAGAUGGGUGUGCGUAUGAUUAGGUAGUUGGCGGGGUAAUGGCCCACCAAGCCGACGAUCAUUAACUGGUGUGAGAGCACGACCAGUCACACGGGCACUGAGACACGGGCCCGACUCCUACGGGAGGCAGCAGUAAGGAAUAUUGGUCAAUGGACGGAAGUCUGAACCAGCCAUGCCGCGUGGAGGAUGAAGGUCCUCUGGAUUGUAAACUUCUUUUAUAGGGGGCGAAAAAAGGGAAUUCUUUCUCGUCUGACGGUACCCUAUGAAUAAGCACCGGCUAACUCCGUGCCAGCCGCCGCGGUAACAC
rnacentral:rRNA from 1 species